GAAAUGCGAUAAGUAGUGUGAAUUGCAGAAUUCAGUGAAUCAUCGAAUCUUUGAACGCACAUUGCGCCCCUUGGUAUUCCAUGGGACAUGCCUGUUCGAGCGUCAUUUGUACCCUCAAGCUCUGCUUGGUGUUGGGUGUUUGUCCCGCCUCCGCGCGUGGACUCGCCCCAAAGUGAUUGGCAGCCGGCGUACUGGUCCCGGAGCGCAGCACAUGUCGCGCAAACGAGUGCCUUGGUACGGCGGCGUCCAUAAGCCCCUCUCUCACGCUCUUGACCUCGGAUCAGGUAGGGAUACCCGCUGAACUUAAGC
rnacentral:misc_RNA from 1 species